rnacentral:tRNA from 1 species
GCCUCCAUAGUUCAACGGAUAGAACGCGGGCUUCCGGAGCCUGAGAUGCGGGUUCAAUUCCUGCUGGAGGCACCA